GGGGGGCGGUUGUUGGGGUAUUGGGCGUAAGGGCGUGUAGGCGGCUCAUCAAGUCUGGUGUGAAAUCGCAGGGCCUAACCUUGCGCACGCGCUGGAAACUGGUGGGCUGGAGUGCCGGAGGGGAAGCUGGAAUUCCAGGUGUAGGGGUGAAAUCUGUAGAUAUCUGGAAGAACACCGGUGGCGAAGGCGAGCUUCUAUUCGGACACUGACGCUGAGGCGCGAAAGCGUGGGGAGCAAACAGGAUUAGAUACCCUGGUAGUCCACGCUGUAAACGAUGUGCACUAGGCGUGGGGCACGUACGUGUUCUGUGCCGUAGCUAACGUGAUAAGUGCACCGCCUGGGGAGUAUGCUCGCAAGGGUGAAACUCAAAGGAAUUGACGGGGGCCCGCACAAGCGGUGGAGCAUGUGGUUUAAUUCGACGCAACGCGAAGAACCUUACCUGGGCUUGACAUCCCUGGAACCUCCUGGAAACAGGGGGGUGCCCGCAAGGGAGCCAGGAGACAGGUGCUGCAUGGCUGUCGUCAGCCCGUGUCGUGAGAUGUUGGGUUAAGUCCCGCAACGAGCGCAACCCUCACCCUCAGUUGCCACCGGGUCAUGCCGGGCACUCAGAGGGAACUGCCCCGGAUAACGGGGAGGAAGGUGGGGAUGACGUCAAGUCCUCAUGGCCUUUAUGUCCAGGGCUACACACACGCUACAAUGGGCAGUACAAUGGGUCGCUAAGCCGCGAGGUAGAGCCAAUCCCCAAAGCUGUCCUCAGUUCAGAUCGCAGGCUGCAACCCGCCUGCGUGAAGUCGGAGUUGCUAGUAAAUGCGCGUCAGCUAUAGCGCAUUGAAUACGUUCUCGGGCCUUGUACACACCGCCCGUCACGUCAUGGGAGCUGGUAACACCUGAAGCCGGUAGUCUAACCGCAAGGAGGACGCCGUCGAAAGUGGUGCUGGUGACUGGGACGAAGUCGUAACAAGGUAAC
rnacentral:rRNA from 1 species